CAAUAGCGUAUAUUUAAGUUGCUGCAGUUAAAAAGCUCGUAGUUGGAUUUCGGGGUGGCCUGCCUGGUCCACCGCAAGGUGAGUACUGGUCAGCCGCCCUUCCUCUCGAAAGCCCCGACUGCUCUUCAUUGCAGUGGUCGGGUAGUUCGGGACGUUUACUUUGAAAAAAUUAGAGUGUUCAAGGCAGGCUAUCGCCUGAAUACAUUAGCAUGGAAUAAUGGAAGAGGACCUCGGUCCUAUUUUGUUGGUUUCUAGGGCCGAAGUAAUGAUUAAGAGGGACAGUUGGGGGCAUUCGUAUUUAAUUGUCAGAGGUGAAAUUCUUGGAUUUAUGAAAGACGAACUAGUGCGAAAGCAUUUGCCAAGGAUGUUUUCAUUAA
rnacentral:rRNA from 1 species